rnacentral:rRNA from 1 species
GGUUAAGCGACUAAGCGUACACGGUGGAUGCCCUGGCAGUCAGAGGCGAUGAAGGGCGUGCUAAUCUGCGAUAAGCGCCGGUAAGGUGAUAUGAACCGUUAUAACCGGCGAUACCCGAAUGGGGAAACCCAGUGUGAUUCGUCACACUAUCAUUAACUGAAUCCAUAGGUUAAUGAGGCGAACCGGGGGAACUGAAACAUCUAAGUACCCCGAGGAAAAGAAAUCAACCGAGAUUCCCCCAGUAGCGGCGAGCGAACGGGGAGGAGCCCAGAGCCUGAAUCAGCAUGUGUGUUAGUGGAAGCGUCUGGAAAGGCGCGCGAUACAGGGUGACAGCCCCGUACACAAAAGCGCAUAUGCUGUGAGCUCGAUGAGUAGGGCGGGACACGUGGUAUCCUGUCUGAAUAUGGGGGGACCAUCCUCCAAGGCUAAAUACUCCUGACUGACCGAUAGUGAACCAGUACCGUGAGGGAAAGGCGAAAAGAACCCCGGCGAGGGGAGUGAAAAAGAACCUGAAACCGUGUACGUACAAGCAGUGGGAGCCCCACCACUAAGCCAGUGGUGAACUCCACAUACGCAUCCUUUGCUGAGGAGACGGUUAACGGAGCGAAAGCGACGUUCAACCUCAAAAGAAGCAGAGGGGGCUUAGUGGUGGGGUGACUGCGUACCUUUUGUAUAAUGGGUCAGCGACUUAUAUUCUGUAGCAAGGUUAACUGUAUAGGGGAGCCGGAGGGAAACCGAGUCUUAACCGGGCGUUAAGUUGCAGGGUAUAGACCCGAAACC